rnacentral:rRNA from 1 species
UACAGAGGGUGCGAGCGUUGUCCGGAAUCACUGGGCGUAAAGGGCGCGUAGGCGGUCCGGUAAGCGUGCGGUGAAAGCCCGGGGCUCAACCCCGGGUCGGCCGUGCGGACUGGCGGACUGGAGCACUGUAGAGGCAGGUGGAAUUCCGGGUGUAGCGGUGGAAUGCGUAGAGAUCCGGAAGAACACCGGUGGCGAAGGCGGCCUGCUGGGCAGUGGCUGACGCUGAGGCGCGACAGCGUGGGGAGCAAACAGG